AUGGCCCUGUGGGCCUUUCUGGGUAGUUCUCAUGGGUUCCUCUCUUGUCUGGGUUAUUCCCUUGCUUCCUUGAACAAUUCCUUAGAGAUUGGACAGCACAGUGUUACUGUGCCAGCAUCAUCUCCAGAACCCUCUAGUGCUGCCAGCUAUUCCCUAGGCCUCUCCCAAGAGACUUCCUCAGGGACAGACCCCCUCAACUUGGACCCUCCUGGCUUUAGGGCAUACAGCCAGAAUCUAUCACCAUUGUCCCAGACCACUGAAGGAUGUGGCAAGAAUCUCAUAGUCCUCAUAAUUCCCAUCCUUCCUAUGCCUGGUGACUGGCCAGUGCAGGGGUUGCAAAUAAGGGGAGGUGACAGGGUGAUUAGAAAGCAGUGUGGUGGGCAGCGGCUGAGCAGCAGUGAUCCUGAGCCAGCACGACUAUCCUCUCUUAAGGAACGUGGUUUUGUGUUUCUGACCUGUGCUGCCAGCUUCAUAAUGGUAGCUCAUCUAAUCAUCAGCGUUUCCAAGGCCCGAAAGAAGUACCAAGUGAAGUAUCCUACCAUGUACAGCAUGGACCCGAAAACGGGCACCUUUUCAACCACGUUCAGCGCGCCCACCAGGACACAUUGAAAGUGUAACCACCCUUCUUAUUUUUCCUAGCUGUUGGAGGUGUUUACCGCCCAGGUAUAGUUUCUGGCCUAGCCUUGGCCUGGAUUGUUGGACAAGUUCUUUAUGCUUAUGGUUGUUACACAAGAGAGCCCAGCAAGCGGAGUCGGGGAGCCCUGGGCUCCAUAGCCCUCACUGGCCUGAUGGGCACAAUGGUGUGCUCUGCCUUCCAGCAUCUUGGUUGGGUUAAAACUGGCUUGGGCAGUGGGUCCAAAUGCUGCCAUUGAAGAAUUAUAAUGUGUUUAAAAUCUUAUUCAUUUUGAAUGAUUUACUCUUAUUUUCAGUUACGUUUUUCUUUUCUAAAUAUAGUAAAAGCUUGUGGCAUUAGCCUCAUGCCU